AGUGAACGCUGGCGGUAGGCCUAACACAUGCAAGUCGAACGGCAGCACAGUAAGAGCUUGCUCUUACGGGUGGCGAGUGGCGGACGGGUGAGGAAUACAUCGGAAUCUACUUUUUCGUGGGGGAUAACGUAGGGAAACUUACGCUAAUACCGCAUACGACCUACGGGUGGAAGCAGGGGAUCUUCGGACCUUGCGCGAUUGAAUGAGCCGAUGUCGGAUUAGCUAGUUGGCGGGGUAAAGGCCCACCAAGGCGACGAUCCGUAGCUGGUCUGAGAGGAUGAUCAGCCACACUGGAACUGAGAAACGGUCCAGACUCCUACGGGAGGCAGCAGUGGGGAAUAUUGGACAAUGGGCGCAAGCCUGAUCCAGCCAUACCGCGUGGGUGAAGAAGGCCUUCGGGUUGUAAAGCCCUUUUGUUGGGAAAGAAAAGCAGCAGGUUAAUACCCCGCUGUUCUGACGGUACCCAAAGAAUAAGCACCGGCUAACUUCGU
rnacentral:rRNA from 1 species